AGUCGAGGGGCAGCAGGUGUAGCAAUACAUGCUGGCGACCGGCGCACGGGUGCGUAACACGUAUGUAAUCUUUCCUUAACUGGUGAAUAGCUUUGAGAAAUCAGAAUUAAUACACCAUAGUAUUAUGAGGUGGCAUCAUCUUAUAAUUAAAGCUCCGGCGGUUAAGGGUGAACAUGCGCCCCAUUAGCUAGUUGGCGAGGUAACGGCUCACCAAGGCAACGAUGGGUAGGGGUUCUAAGAGGAUUUACCCCCACACGGGAACUGAGACACGGUCCCGACUCCUACGGGAGGCAGCAGUAAGGAAUAUUGGUCAAUGGACGCAAGUCUGAACCAGCCAUGCCGCGUGCAGGAUGAAGGUCCUACGGAUCGUAAACUGCUUUUGUACGGGAAAAAACCCCUUGUUUCUACGAGGGUUGAUGGUACCGUAAGAAUAAGGAUCGGCUAACUCCGUGCCAGCAGCCGCGGUAAUACGGAGGAUCCAAGCGUUAUCCGGAUUUACUGGGUUUAAAGGGUGCGUAGGUGGGAUGACAAGUCAGUGGUGAAAACCUGUAGCUUAACUACAGACCUGCCAUUGAUACUGUCAUUCUUGAGUGUAUUUGAUGUAAGUGGAAUGUGUCAUGUAGCGGUGAAAUGCUUAGAUAUGACACAGAACACCCAUUGCGAAGGCAGCUUACAAAACUACAACUGACACUGAGGCACGAAAGCGUGGGGAUCAAACAGGAUUAGAUACCCUGGUAGUCCACGCCGUA
rnacentral:rRNA from 1 species